rnacentral:ncRNA from 2 species
AAUUAAAAUUAAUUGUAGCUUCGUAUAACUCCAAUAAUAUGGUUUGGAGGUCUCUACUAGGAACCAUUAAUUCCUAAUUACGAAGAAGAUAUAUCUAUUA